rnacentral:rRNA from 1 species
UCAGACGAUGCGUCAUGCAUAUCAAUAAGCGGAGGAAAAGAAACUAACAAGGAUUCCCCUAGUAACGGCGAGUGAAGCGGGAAGAGCUCAAAUUUGAAAUCUUAAAGGGUUUCCCUUUACGAAUUGUAGUUUAAAGAAGUGUUUUCUGUUGAGGUUUUGGUAAAAGUUCUUUGGAAUAGGACAUCAUAGAGGGUGAGAAUCCCGUAUUUGACCUUUACUUUCAACUUUGUGAUACACUUUCAAAGAGUCGGAUUGUUUGGGAAUAGCAGUCCAAAAUGGGUGGUAAAUUUCAUCUAAAGCUAAAUAUUGGCGAGAGACCGAUAGCGAACAAGUACCGUGAGGGAAAGAUGAAAAGAACUUUGAAAAGAGAGUUAAACAGUACGUGAAAUUGUCAAAAGGGAAGCGUUUGACACCAGUGUUGUUUUUCUGAAAAUCAAUUAAAGAACUGUUUAUGCUAAGUUGUUUAGACUUUAUCAGCUAACUGUUUAGUUUUGAGCUUUUCUUUAAUGCACUUUUCAGUUAACAAGUCAACAUCAAUUUCUUUUGCUGUAAAAAGGCUUGAGGAAGGUGGCUUGAGAUUCGUCUUAAGUGUUUAUAGCCUCUUGCCUAUGCAGUCGGAGAGAUUGAGGUCUGCAGCGUAGAUCCUUCGGGGCUAAAUGCAUUUGUGCUAAGUUAUAGCAUUUUAUAGACAACUUGUUGACUAUGAUUUGUCUUGUAGCUUACUCGCUUAUGUUAUUUUACCUACGCUUAGGAUGUUGAAUCUGUGCGAGACUAC